CCUACGGGUGGCUGCAGUGGGGGAUAUUGCACAAUGGGGGAAACCCUGAUGCAGCGACGCCGCGUGGGCGAAGAAGUAUUUCGGUAGGUAAAGCCCUAUCAGCAGGGAAGAAGAAAGGACGGUACCUGAGUAAGAAGCACCGGCUAAAGACGUGCCAGCAGCCGCGGUAAUACGUAUGGGGCAAGCGGUAUCCGGAUUUACUGGGUGGAAAGGGAGCGCAGGCGGCACGGCAAGCCUGAUGUGCAAGCCCGCGGCCCAACCGCGGGACUGCAUUGGGAACUACCGGGCUGGAGUGCCGGAGCGGUAGGCGGAAUUCCUAGUGUAGCGGUGCACUGCGUCGAUAUUAGGCGG
rnacentral:rRNA from 1 species